AGUGAACGCUGGCGGUAGGCCUAACACAUGCAAGUCGAACGGCAGCACAGUAAGAGCCUGCUCUUACGGGAGUCGAGUGGCGGACGGUUGCGUUCUAUAUCGGAUUCUACUUUUUCGUGGGGGAUAAUGCAGGGAAACUUACGCUAAUACCGCAUACGACCUACGGGUGAAAGCAGGGGAUCUUCGGACCUUGUGCGAUUGUAUGAGCCGAUGUCGGAUUAGCUAGUUGGCGGGGUAAAGGCACACCACGGCCACGAUCCGUAGCUGGUCUGAGAGGAUGAUCAGCCACACUGUAACUGAGACACGGUCCAGACUCCUACAGGGAGAAGCAGUGGAGAAUAUUGGGCGAUGGGGGAAAGCCUGAUCCAGCCAUACCGCGUGGGUGAAGAAGGACUUCGGGUUGGAGAGCCCUUUUGUUGGGAAAGAAGAGCAGCAGGUUAAGACCCCGCUGUUCUGACGGUACCCAAAGAAUAAGCACCGGCUAACUUCGUG
rnacentral:rRNA from 1 species